rnacentral:miRNA from 1 species
AAAGAGACAUGGGGAGGGGACAGGGUAGAGGUGGCGCGAUGUUGGCCCUUAAUCUGAAUUUUAAAAAUGCAGAUCAAGGGCCGAGGUCGCACAACCUCGGCCCUGUCCCCAAUCCCUGUCCCUUCC